rnacentral:rRNA from 1 species
UACGGGGGGGGCAAGCGUUGUUCGGAAUUACUGGGCGUAAAGGGCUCGUAGGCGGCCAACUAAGUCAGACGUGAAAUCCCUCGGCUUAACCGGGGAACUGCGUCUGAUACUGGAUGGCUUGAAUCCGGGAGAGGGAUGCAGAAUUCCAGGUGUAGCGGUGAAAUGCGUAGAUAUCUGGAAGAACACCGGUGGCGAAGGCGGCGACCUGGUCCUUGACUGACGCUGAGGCGCGAAAGCGUGGGGAGCAAACAGG